UUUCCGUAGGUGAACCUGCGGAAGGAUCAUUAUUGUAUCACCGAGGUGCGAGGGCUAUCGCUGACCCGAAAUUACGCACACGGCCGACUGCCCUCACACACAUCCAUCUCACCCCUAUCUUCACCACCGCACGUUUCCCCCUUUGCCUUGUUCGAAGGAGGGCUUACGUCUUCACACAACCUUUUUCUCGAGUGGAGAAUGAAUUUUUUGUUUUUGCGAUCCCCCAAUCAGAACACCUUUCAACAACUAAUCUCUUGUCUCUCGCCUCGAUGAAGAACA
rnacentral:misc_RNA from 1 species